GGUAGUGUGGCCGAGUGGUCUAAGGCGCUGGAUUUAGGCUCCAGUCCCAAAAAAGGCAUGUUUUCAAAUCCCACCACUUCCA
rnacentral:tRNA from 1 species